rnacentral:rRNA from 1 species
GCGCGCGUAGGUGGUUAAUUAAGUCAAAUGUGAAAUCCCCGAGCUUAACUUGGGAAUUGCAUUCGAUACUGGUUAGCUAGAGUAUGGGAGAGGAUGGUAGAAUUCCAGGUGUAGCGGUGAAAUGCGUAGAGAUCUGGAGGAAUACCGAUGGCGAAGGCAGCCAUCUGGCCUAAUACUGACACUGAGGUGCGAAAGCAUGGGGAGCAAACAGGAUUAGAUACCCUGGUAGUCCAUGCCGUAAACGAUGUCUACUAGCCGUUGGGGGAUUUGAUCCUUUAGUGGCGCAGCUAACGCGAUAAGUAGACCGCCUGGGGAGUACGGUCGCAAGACUAAAACUCAAAUGAAUUGACGGGGGCCCGCACAAGCGGUGGAGCAUGUGGUUUAAUUCGAUGCAACGCGAAGAACCUUACCUGGCCUUGACAUAGUAGAGACUUUCCAGAGAUGGAUUGGUGCCUUCGGGAAUCUACAUACAGGUGCUGCAUGGCUGUCGUCAGCUCGUGUCGUGAGAUGUUGGGUUAAGUCCCGCAACGAGCGCAACCCUUUUCCUUACUUGCCAGCAUUUCGGAUGGGAACUUUAAGGAUACUGCCAGUGACAAACUGGAGGAAGGCGGGGACGACGUCAAGUCAUCAUGGCCCUUACGGCCAGGGCUACACACGUGCUACAAUGGUCGGUACAAAGGGUUGCUACACAGCGAUGUGAUGCUAAUCUCAAAAAGCCGAUCGUAGUCCGGAUCGCAGUCUGCAACUCGACUGCGUGAAGUCGGAAUCGCUAGUAAUCGCGGAUCAGAAUGCCGCGGUGAAUACGUUCCCGGGCCUUGUACACACCGCCCGUCACACCAUGGGAGU